rnacentral:rRNA from 1 species
UACGGAGGGUGCAAGCGUUAAUCGGAAUUACUGGGCGUAAAGCGCACGCAGGUGGCUGAGUCAGUCGAUUGUGAAAGCCCUGGGCUUAACCUGGGAAUUGCAGUCGAUACUACUCAGCUAGAGUAUGGGAGAGGGUAGUGGAAUUCCCGGUGUAGCGGUGAAAUGCGUAGAUAUCGUGAGGAACACCAGAGGCGAAGGCGGCUACCUGGACAAUUGCUGACGCUCAGGCACGAAAGCGUGGGGAGCAAAAGGG